rnacentral:rRNA from 1 species
GAUCAUGGCUCAGGAUGAACGCUAGCGGCAGGCUUAACACAUGCAAGUCGAGGGGCAGCGUGGAGUAGCAAUACUCUGACAGCGACCGGCGAAAGGGUGAGUAACGCGUGAGCAACAUGCCCGUAGUUGGGGGAUAGUCGAUGGAAACGUCGCGUAAUACCCCGUAACAACAGAGGCCGCAUGACCUUUGUUUAAGAGAUUUAUUGUCUACGGAUUGGCUCGCGUACCAUUAGCUAGUUGGCGGGGUAACGGCCCACCAAGGCGACGAUGGUUAGGGGUUCUGAGAGGAAGGUCCCCCACAUUGGAACUGAGACACGGUCCAGACUCCUACGGGAGGCAGCAGUGAGGAAUAUUGGUCAAUGGCCGAGAGGCUGAACCAGCCAUGCCGCGUGCGGGGAAUGACGGCCCUAUGGGUUGUAAACCGCUUUUGUUGGGGAGCAAUAAGGUUCACGUGUGGACUGAUGAGAGUACCCAGCGAAUAAGCAUCGGCUAACUCCGUGCCAGCCGCUGC